rnacentral:rRNA from 1 species
UACGGAGGGUGCAAGCGUUAAUCGGAAUUACUAGGCGUAAAGCGCACGCAGGCGGUCUGUCAAGUCGGAUGUGAAAUCCCCGGGCUCAACCUGGGAACUGCAUUCGAAACUGGCAGGCUAGAGUCUUGUAGAGGGGGGUAGAAUUCCAGGUGUAGCGGUGAAAUGCGUAGAGAUCUGGAGGAAUACCGGUGGCGAAGGCGGCCCCCUGGACAAAGACUGACGCUCAGGUGCGAAAGCGUGGGGAGCAAACAGG